CCUACGGGGAGCAGCAGUGGGGAAUAUUGCACAAUGGGGGAAACCCUGAUGCAGCGACGCCGCGUGAGUGAUGAAGUAUUUCGGUAUGUAAAGCUCUAUCAGCAGGGAAGAACAUUACGGUACCUGAUUAAGAAGCCCCUGCUAACUACUUGCCCGCAGCCGCGGGAAUACAUUGGGGGCAAACGUUAUCCGGGUUUACUGGGUGUAAAGGGAGCGUAGGCGGCAGCGCAAGUCUGAAGUGAAAUGCCGGGGUUUAAACCCCGAACUGAUUUGGAAACUGGGCAGCUAGAGUGAAGGAGAGGUAAGUGGAAUUCCUAGUGUAGCGGUGAAAUGCGUAGAUAUUAGGAGGAACACCAGUGGCGAAGGCGGCUUACUGGACUGUAACUGACGUUGAGGCUCGAAAGCGUGGGGAGCAAACAGGAUUAGAUACCCGGGUAGUC
rnacentral:rRNA from 1 species